CUAUACACAUGUCACCUAUGAGCAGCCUGUGUGUGUGUGUGUCUGUUAUUGUAUCCUUACAUAGGAAGUCCUCUCACUGUCUGUCUGUCUGUCUGUCUGUGUCCUCGGGGGGGGGACUUUAGUUCCAGAUCUGGUUUAAUUGGUGUCAAGCAGACCUCGGUGAAAAGCCGUCAGAGACCAGAGAUGCUCAGCGAGACAGGAAACCUUUUAUUAGGGGACUUCCUCCAACUGCAUGACUCUGUGUGUGUGUGUGUGUGUGUGUGUGUGUGAGUGUGUGUGUGUGUCCCACUCUGUCCUAUUGUCUCUGAUCCCUCCCUCUUCAAAUCUCUCAUCACCGCUCAGUUUCCAUCGACACUCUUCCUCUCCCUCUCAGUCCCGCCGCCUUCAAACAUCUAAACCCAUUUAUCACUGCGCCUCUCUCGCUCUCUCUCUCUCUCUCUGUGUGUCUCUCUCUCUCUCUCUCUCUCUCUGUGUCUCCCUCUCUCUCUCUGUGUGUCUCUCUCUCUCUCUCUCAGCGGUAUUGUUUUUAAGUCUGAUGUCCGUCCUUGAAUGAGUGAGGGAGUUUCUCUCUGGGGGGAAUAAUCCGGUGACCACAGAGACACACCGAGCCAGCCGGCCUAAUGAUGAGAGCACUUCCUGACAGCCAGCAGACACACUCAUCAUACACAUACACACACACACACACACACACACACACACACACACACACACACACACACACACGUCCAAACAUACCAGCAGACAGCAGCUGCACAGCUACGCAUGCAGGGGGGCCUUUUUUCUCUAACAGAUGAUCACUUUCGGCCCCAGAACCGCCCCGGUCCAGUUUCUAACCGGAUUAUUCUCAUUCUUAUUUGAACCGGGCUUUAGUUCUGUUAAUGACGUUAAUGAGAGACUUUCUUCUCAUUUCAUCAAGAGUUUUUCAGAGGAUGUUAAAGUUGGUCCAAAACAUCACUUUUAUAUUUCAGCAAACACCUUCUCCAUCUCUUAUCAUCAUCUGACCUUGAGUCCAAAUCCUGAAGGUCCACCAGUCUUUGGAGCAGAAGAGUCCGACCUUCACCGUAUCAUGACUCGGCUGAUCUUUGUUUCUGACUUUGGUAAUUUCUCUCACUGCUUAUUAACAAUAAACUAUAAAGGACUUUUCACUCUGUCUCUAAGAGGUUGAAGGUUUUAUUCUAGGACUAAUUUUGACCUCUUAGAUCGCGGCGCCGUAAAUGACCCGUAAUUGUUGAUUGUGCACUAAUGUGAUAUUUGAUCAUGAGUAAAUAGUAAAUAGACAGUGUUUAAUGAAUGUUUUUACAUCAUCUCACAUUCAUCCGUUCACUCACUGAUGGCAGACACUGCUGUAUAUAUAUCAGUUUGGACUGUUUUCACUCACAUAGUAAUACUGGGGGCAGCCAGCAGGGGCAGGUGGGGUCGACUGUCUUAUCCAGGGAUCGAACCUCCAACCUUCUGACUGGAGAAUGACCGACUCCACCGCUGAGUCUAAGGUGAUGGAGCUGGGUCAGCUCAAGUCAUGUCUGAUUGAAAUCAUUUGUUUGGACGUCGUUGAUGAAACUUUAUUGUGUUUUUAUUUUACUGAAACUUUAGAAAAUUUUCCAUUAAAAACUUUCAAGUCGAAUGAAAAAUCAAAUUUAUCUCCAGUGGAUUAAAAAAGUUAUGAAAGAGUCAGAGAGCCGACAGAGACUCUGAUAUUAACGUCUUCAGAUGUAAAUAUUUAUAUUUAAUAAAUCUAUAUUAUUCUUAUAAUCAUAUAUUUAAUAUCAAACAUUGAUAUUUAGGUCUGUGUCCUUUCAAAAUAAAAUUUAUUAUUACUUUUAUAUUUUCAUCCAAACAGACGAGAUUUCAGUUUAUUCACUGAGCAGAAAAAAGACUCAAACGCCCACAUCCACCCACACACACAUUUACAUCAAUGUACACAAACAUCUACCCACACACACACACACAUGUAAAGAUAAUAAAGCAGCUGCUGUUCUAUAGUACUGUGUGUGUGUGUGUGUGUGUGUGUGCGCUGUGUUUUGUCAGCAAGUUUAACUGUAACCGUAACUGUAACUGUAACUGUAAUUACUGUUGCUCAAGAACUAACUGACAAUGAAAACACACACACACACACACACACACACACACACACACACACACACACACACACACACACACACACACACACACACAGCCUCUAAGGUAAACACAGGUCGACACACCUGCUUUUCAGGUAACUGAAGGUUUCUUGUUCGGGGAUCUCUCACGGCCUGCUCAGAGACCUGAUCGAGGAUCGGGUCCAGGUCUUUGAUUCUCUGGGUUAAUAUUAAACUCUUGAGGAAGUCCUGGUGUUACCGUGGUAACAGAGACUUCCCUCUGAGGUGGAUCAGGGCCAAACCUGUCUCAGGGAAGUCUCACCUGCAGCACGUUUCAGCUGUAAUCGAGCUGGACUCAAAAGUGAACGAACCACAACGUGAGAGGGUGGCGUUCGGCGCCAGCGUGGAGACGUCACACUCCAGAGGUGGAAGACCAGAACCAGGAAAGGAGGACAGGCAGAGACUCAUCCUGACAGCUAAGCUGCGGCAGCGGCGGUGGACGCCUAACCGCCAUUGUUACGAAAGCGUGCACAAAGUUCAUUUGUUUCGUGACGAGACAAGCUCUCACACUCCUCCUCCUCCUCCUCCAGAGGAGGAAGGAGAACCUAUCAGGAGGAUCUCUGCGUACCUGCAGAACAGGAGCCGUCUGUUCAAACAAUUCAACGGGUUUUUGGCCCGUUUCCAUGACGACGGCGGCUCAGGGAAGUGGAAGAAGAAAAGAAAGAAAGAAAGAAAGAAAGAAAGAAAGAAAGAAAGCAUCCCUGCAUUUCUCUUCAGACUAAGACACUCCUGCUUCUCCUCUCUUCUCCUCUUUUCUCCUCCUUUGUCUCUUUUCUUUAACUCCUCUUUUCUUUUCUUUCACUCUCUCUGAACCCCCCUCCACUCCUCCCCCUUUUUUCUCUCUCUUUCAUUUAAUCCUGAAUGCAAUCCUUUUCUCUCUCUCUCUCUCUCCCUCCCCCUCCUCCCCCUCUCUUGUUCGAUCCCUGACUCAACUUUCACAUUCCUUUAGCAUUCCUGUAGGAUUAGCCUUUAGCAUUCUCAGGCUAUGCAGAGGCCACGGCCCCCCCACUGUGACGGUGGCAGGCACUAACGGACGACACUGAAAAUGUGUGUGUGUGUGUGUGUGUGUGAGUGUGUGUGUGUGUGUGAGAGUGUUAUCCUCUCAUUCUCUUUCAUCACCUCCUCCUCCUCCUCCUCCUCCUCCUGUUACAUACAACAUUUUCAGUUAUUUAGUUUUUUAUUUUCUCCCACCACAGACUGUAUUUUCUGGGGCCUGACUGAUUUAUCGGCGAGCCAAUUAAAUCGGCGAAUUUUAGCCUGUUUGAGACUAAUCGGUAAUCGGCCAAAAUUCGCUGAUUUUCGCCGAUAUUUUCAGAAAUAAAAUGCAGAGAACAGCGUUUCCCCCCGGGUGAGAUAUGCAAUCUCUGUCCUCCCAUAGGCUGUAUCAGGUGUCAAUCAUCGAAAACAUGAACCCCCUAAUAACAGAAAAAAGAGGACUUGAGCACAAACCAGUCUGACAGUAACUACAUGUCAACAUCACAACCAGGGGGGAGAAACAUUUAUAUUCUGUGUCAUUCAUUUAGAAAGUUUGUCCACAGCUCCAUAAGGAGGCGGGGUUUAUGAUCUAUACUGCAGCCCGUCACCAGAGGGCGCUGUUCUUGCAGCGAGGAGGCAGACGGCGUCUAUUCUAGAUACAGUCUAGAGCUCCCGCUUGUCUGUCCAGCACGGGUUAAUCUGUGCUGAAUUUAUCCGCCAUGCUCCGGCGUCUGGAAAAAUAGAACUCGGAAAGACGUAAAGAAGUCGGUGUAAAUUGACACGUUAACUUGAAUGGUUACGAUCAGCUACGAUCGGAGGAUACGACCUUUUAGUAGAUGUUCUGGAUGCGGUGGAAAUUGGGGGUUAAGUUCGUUUCUUCUUUUCCCUGUUGGUCUGUUUUGGCUGCAGAAACAUCAGGAUUCAUCUGAGUCUGUUUUUAAAAACUCCUGAUUGAAGCUUUAAUCGUCUUAAAGGUAAAGAAAUUAAAAACACAACAAACCAAAAAUAACCGACUCGUCUCUAAAUCAAACCCUACUAUCUGUAAAUGGUCGCGGCGUCCCCGCUCUCCUCACAGCGCCCUCUUUUUUAGCUGAGUGUUGAAGCUGAGGCGGCGCUGUGAGGUCACGGCGGCCUUUUUCCUGUUUGCUCUUCUCGCUCUAUAAGGAGGCUUUGUGUCGAGUCAGAGUUACAAGCC
rnacentral:lncRNA from 1 species